UACGAAGGGGGCUAGCGUUGUUCGGAAUUACUGGGCGUAAAGCGCACGUAGGCGGAUCGAUCAGUCAGGGGUGAAAUCCCGGGGCUCAACCUCGGAACUGCCUUUGGUACUAACAAUCUUGAGUCCGGAAGAGGUGAGUGGAAUUCCUAGUGUAGAGAUGAAAUUCGUAGAUAUUAGGAAGAACACCAGUGGCGAAGGCGGCUCACUGGUCCGGUACUGACGCUGAGGUGCGAAAGCGUGGGGAGCAAACAGG
rnacentral:rRNA from 1 species